rnacentral:piRNA from 1 species
UGCCUAGAUUAUUGUAAUUAUCAAACAGUA